AUUGAACGCUGGCGGCAGGCCUAACACAUGCAAGUCGAGCGGAUGAAGGGAGCUUGCUCCUGGAUUCAGCGGCGGACGGGUGAGUAAUGCCUAGGAAUCUGCCUGGUAGUGGGGGAUAACGUCCGGAAACGGGCGCUAAUACCGCAUACGUCCUGAGGGAGAAAGUGGGGGAUCUUCGGACCUCACGCUAUCAGAUGAGCCUAGGUCGGAUUAGCUAGUUGGUGGGGUGAAGGCCUACCAAGGCGACGAUCCGUAACUGGUCUGAGAGGAUGAUCAGUCACACUGGAACUGAACCACGGUCCAGACUACUACGGGAGGCAGCAGUGGGGAAUAUUGGACAAUGGGCGAAAGCCUGAUCCAGCCAUGCCGCGUGUGUGAAGAAGGUCUUCGGAUUGUAAAGCACGUUAAGUUGGGAGGAAGGGCAGUAAGUUAAUACCUUGCUGUUUUGACGUUACCAACAGAAUAAGCACCGGCUAACUUCGUG
rnacentral:rRNA from 1 species